AUAUGGAGGGGGCUAGCGUUGUUCGGAAUUACUGGGCGUAAAGGGCGCGUAGGCGGAUUGUCAAGUCAGAGGUGAAAGCCCUGGGCUCAACCCGGGAACUGCCUUUGAAACUAACAGUCUUGAGUCCGAGAGAGGAUGGCGGAAUUCCCAGUGUAGAGGUGAAAUUCGUAGAUAUUGGGAAGAACACCAGUGGCGAAGGCGGCCAUCUGGCUCGGUACUGACGCUGAGGCGCGAAAGCGUGGGGAGCAAACAGGAUUAGAAACCCCGGUAGUCC
rnacentral:rRNA from 1 species